UGAUACCGGAUAUUUGGAAUUGUGCCACC
rnacentral:sRNA from 1 species